rnacentral:tRNA from 1 species
GCAUUGGUGGUUCAGUGGUAGAAUUCUCACUUUCCAUGCAGGAGACCAGGGUUGAUUCCUGGCCAGUGUA